ACGAACACUUGCGGCGUGCCCUAAGAAAUGCAAGUCGAGCGGGGGAACUAGAUUUCGGUUUAGUUCUUAGCGGCGAAACGGUCGCGUAACACGUAAGCAAACCUGCCCCGAAGACCGGGACAACAUCUCGAAAGGGGUGCUAAUACCGGAUGUGGCCACUUCCUCGCAUGGAGAGGUGAUUAAAUCCCGCAAGGGGCUUCGGGAGGGGCUUGCGGCCCUAUCAGCUAGUUGGUGGGGUUAACGGCCUACCAAGGGCGACCGACGGGUAGCUGGUCUGAGAGGACGGCCAGCCGGACUGGGACUGAGAUACGGCCCAGACUCCUACGGGGGGCAGCAAUUAGGAAUCUUGCGCAAUGGGCGAAAGCCUGACGCAGCGACGCCGCGUGGAGGAGGAAGUCCUUCGGGAUUGUAAACUCCUUUUGCCUGGGAAGAGAUGGGCCGCAAGCCUCUGACGGUACCAGGUGAAUAAGCCCCGGCUAACUACGUGCCAGCAAGCCGCGGUAAUACGGUAGGGGGCGAGCGUUGUCCGAAGUUACUGGGCGUAAAAGCGCGCGUAGGCGGGGGAUUAAGUUGAGAGGUGAAAGGGCUGGGGCUCAACCUCAUGCAGUGCCUCUCAUACUGGUCCUUCUUGAGGGCGGUAGGGAAGAAGUGGAAUGGCUGGUUUUUGUAGGCGGUGAAAUGCGUAGAUAUCAGUCGGAACCACCGGUGGCGAAGGCGGCUUCUUGGGCCGUUUUCCCUGACGCCUGAGGCGCGAAAGCUGGGGGGGAGGCGAACGGGGAUUAGAUACCCCCGGUUAGUCCCAGCCGUAAACGAUGGAUACUAGGUUGUCGGGGGUUAUCGACCCCCCCGGUGCCGGCAGCUAACGCAAUUAAGUAUCCCGGCCCUGGGGAGUACGGCCGCAAGGUUUGAAACUCAAAGGAAAUUGACGGGGGGGCCCGCACAAGCGGUUGGAAGCAUGUUGUUUAAUACGUCACUAACCGUAGAAACCUUACCCAGGGCUUGACAUCUGACGACCAACCUAUGAAAAGUAGGCCUUCCCUCGCAAGAGGACGUCAAGAACAGGUGUUUGCAUGGCUGUCGUCAGCUCGUGUCGUGAGAUGUUGGGUUAAGUCCCGCAACGAGCGCAAACCCCUCACCCCAUGUUUGCCAUCGGGUCAUGCCGGGAAACUCUUGGGGGAACUGCCUGGGUAACCGGGGAGGAAGGUGGGGAUGACGUCCAAGUCAGCAUGGGCCCUUACGCCCCUGGGCUACAAACAUGCUACAAUGGACGGUAGGACAAAGGGGAUCCGAGGACCGCGAGGUGGAGGCCAAUCUCAAAAAAAUCCGUUCCCAGUGGUUCAGAUCGCAGGCUGCAACUCGCUCUGCCGUGAAGUCGGAAUCGCUAGUAACCGCAGAUCAGCGAAAGCUUGCGGUGAAUACGUUCCCGGGCCUUUGUACACACCGCCCCCGUUCACGUCAACCUGAGUUGUCUGCACCCGAAGCCGGUGGCUUAACCCGCAAGGGGAAAAGAGCCGUCCUAAGGUGUGGGGAGCGAGGGGGACG
rnacentral:rRNA from 1 species